CAGAAACCUCCAAACUCCAGACCCGCUGGACGACACUCGGCCUGACGGUGGUUUUUCCAUCCUGGCUCUUGUCAUCCCGCUUGUGAUCAUCUUACUGUUCAUCGUUGUCGGUGUCGUUGCAUAUUUCUUAAGGAGAAAAGUUCAAAAAAAGAAUCUUUCAGACAAAGACGCCGCUCAGAAAGAACCGCUUGGACCCUAGGUGCCUUGCUCAGGAGCUGUUGGUGCGAAUGGAGACUAUCGGGGAUUUAACUCUGCACGACGUUUCUGGUCCAUCUGGAGAUUCGAUCCAGCAGCCACAAGGAGGGGCAGUGACAGAACCUCCUGGCCGUGGCUGCUGUGAGGAAUCUGAUCCACUGAUGGACUUUAUUUCUCAACGUCCUGCAGUGAAAGUUUGAAGAGGAAAUUAGAAGAAGAUUCAUUUCUGCGAGACCCAAAGAGUCCACUAGUAGAGAUCUGCUUCGGUUCGAUCUUUCAGAACCGGAAUCGCUCUUUCGGUUUU